rnacentral:rRNA from 1 species
CCAGACUACGGGAGGCAGCAGUGGGGAAUAUUGCACAAUGGGGGGAACCCUGAUGCAGCGACGCCGCGUGGGUGAAGGAGCGUUUCGGCGCGUAAAGCCCUAUCGGCAGGGAAGAAGGAGGACGGUACCUGACUAAGAAGCCCCGGCUAACUACGUGCCAGCAGCCGCGGUAAUACGUAGGGGGCAAGCGUUAUCCGGAUUUACUGGGUGUAAAGGGAGCGUAGACGGCAAUGCAAGCCAGAUGUGAAAGCCCGGGGCGCAACCCCGGGACUGCAUUUGGAACUGUGUAGCUGGAGUGUCGGAGAGGCAGGCGGAAUUCCUAGUGUAGCGGUGAAAUGCGUAGAUAUCAGGAGGAACACCGGUGGCGAAGGCGGCCUGCUGGACUGCGACUGACGUUGAGGCCCGAAAGCGUGGGGAGCAAACAGGAUUAGAUACCCCAGUAUAU